ensembl:snRNA U4 U4 spliceosomal RNA
AUCUUUGCACAGUAGCAGUAUCAUAGCCAAUGAGGUUUAUCUGAGGCAUGAUUAUUGUUAAUAGAAAACAAUAUAAAGAAUCAAUGAACCGAAGAGUUGGUUCUUGGAAAUAAAACUGACAAAUCCUUAG